GACGAACCGUGCGAACGUUAUUCGGAAUCACUGGCUUAAAGGGCGCGUAGGUGGUUGAUCAAGUCUGGGGUGAAAUCUUUCGGCUUAACCGGAAAAGUGCCUUGGAUACUGAUCAGCUGGAGGGAGGUAGGGGCAGUUGGAACUUCCAGUGGAGCGGUGAAAUGCGUUGAUAUUGGAAGGAACGCCGGUGGCGAAAGCGAACUGCUGGACCUCUUCUGACACUGAGGCGCGAAAGCUAGGGGAGCAAACGGG
rnacentral:rRNA from 1 species